rnacentral:rRNA from 1 species
UACGUAGGGUGCAAGCGUUAAUCGGAAUUACUGGGCGUAAAGCGUGCGUAGGCGGUUCGUUAAGUGCGUCGUGAAAGCCCCGGGCUCAACCUGGGAAUGGCGAUGGAAACUGGCGGGCUGGAGUAUGGCAGAGGGGGGUGGAAUUCCGCGUGUAGCAGUGAAAUGCGUAGAGAUGCGGAGGAACACCGAUGGCGAAGGCAGCCCCCUGGGCCAAUACUGACGCUCAGGCACGAAAGCGUGGGGAUCAAACAGG